rnacentral:rRNA from 1 species
ACCGAAUAGAUACCCUGGUAGUCCACGCCGUAAACGAUGGAUGCUAGCUGUUAGGAGUAUCGACCCUUCUAGUAGCGAAAGCUAACGCGUUAAGCAUCCCGCCUGGGGAGUACGGUCGCAAGAUUAAAACUCAAAGGAAUUGACGGGGGACCCGCACAAGCGGUGGAGCGUGUUCUUUAAAUUCGAUGAUAAGCGAAGAACCUUACCAGGACUUGACAUCCAGGGAAGCACUACGAAAGUAGAGUGUGCCUUUUGGAACCCUGUGACAGGUGCUGCAUGGCCGUCGUCAGCUCGUGUCGUGAGAUGUUUGGUUAAGUCCAUUAACGAGCGCAACCCUUAUGAAUAGUUGAAUUUUCUAUUCAGACUGCCCCGGUAACGGGGAGGAAGGGGGGGAUGAUGUCAGGUCAGUAUUGCCCUUACGUCCUGGGCUAGAAACGCGCUACAAUGGCCGGUACAAUGCGCCUUAAGCCAACCCGCGAGGGGAGCAAAUCGCAUCAAAGCCGGUCCCAGUUCGGAUAAGAGGCUGAAACUCGCCUCUUUGAAGCC